rnacentral:rRNA from 1 species
AUUGAACGCUGGCGGCAGGCCUAACACAUGCAAGUCGAGAGGGGUUUUCGGACCUAGCGGCGGACGGGUGAGUAAUGCGUAGGAAGCUGCCCGAUAGAGGGGGACACCAGUUGGAAACGACUGUUAAUACCGCAUAAUGUCUACGGACCAAAGUGUGGGACCUUCGGGCCACAUGCCAUCGGAUGCGCCUACGUGGGAUUAGCUAGUUGGUGGGGUAAUGGCUCACCAAGGCGCCGAUCUCUAGCUGGUUAGAGGGGAUGAUCAGCCACCCUGGAACGGCAACCCGGUCCAGACUCCUACGGGAGGCAGCAGUGGGGAAUAUUUGACAAUGGGGGGAACCCUGAUCCAGCCAUGCCGCGUGUGUGAAGAAGGCCUUUUGGUUGUAAAGCACUUUAAGCGAGGAGGAGUCUACUAGUAUUAAUACUACUGGAUAGUGGACGUUACUCGCAGAAUAAGCACCGGCUAACUCUGUGCCAGCAGCCGCCGUAACAC